GACAGAGGGGGCAAGCGUUGCUCGGAAUUACUGGGCGUAAAGGGCGCGUAGGCGGGAUGGCAAGUCGGUCGUGAAAUCCCUCGGCUCAACUGAGGAUCGUCGAUCGAUACUGCUGUUCUUGAGGAUUGCAGAGGAGACUGGAAUUCCCGGUGUAGCGGUGAAAUGUGUAGAGAUCGGGAGGAACACCGGUGGCGAAGGCGGGUCUCUGGGCAAUUCCUGACGCUGAGGCGCGAAAGCUAGGGGAGCGAACAGG
rnacentral:rRNA from 1 species